ensembl:lncRNA
UAUUUCACUGUCAGACAUUUCUUUAUUAUGAGUUUAUAAAGACAUGAAUAUGAACUGCAUAGAAAAUUCUAGAGGGAGAAAAAAUAAAAUUCGAUGAAACUAUAGCACUCAAGUUAGAAAUAUAUCUAUAUUAUAUAUAUAAUAACUGUUGAAAAGUAAGAUCACUUUUUUCAAUAACCUUCUCAGAAAUGUAACCAAAAUGAGGUUCAGUUCCCAUCUCUCUGAAUCCACUGGGAAGACUCCAUUAACAAGAGGAGAAGGCAGAUGGAGGCUGCAUACAGGUGAGCUAAGGUAAGUCACCUUGCAUUCCCUCACACCAAAGCACUGAAGAGCAGAGGUUACAAUUUGAGGUGGGCCCUCAGGCAGCAACACUGCACAGUGCUCUGCUGCUGCCACAGAAAUGGAGGUAAGGUUAGUAACAGUCCUUAUGCUUCCUUGUACCAUGGCAUCCUAAAAUUGUGUUUGUAAAGAGACAGUUUCGUCAUUUUGGGUAGAAUAAUUUCCUGACCAAAGCUCUUCAGAAGUUCCCUGUCCAUCUAACAUGAUCUGACCUUCAGACAUUGCCAUGUCCCACACCCCACAGGACAGCAUAAUUUCUGAACUGCACGGUGACCGCAUGUCAAGAUUUGUGCUUUGUCCUCUUUUCAUUAUGGAAGAUCUAAACCAGUUGAGAUUGAUCAUCUUCCACUGUCCUCUUUCAACUUCUUUUGUGUGUCCAGAGGAGACUGAAAAACUCUUCCACAGUUUUCAAGCCAGUAAGAGAGAAGCUGUUUGACACAUUACUAAAAUCCAUGGAAAAUUUCUUUAAAUCCUAGGAUUUCACCAAAGUGGGUGCUGAAUCAGAAGGAAAACAAUCAUGAGCUGUAACAGCAAUUUUGAUCCAAGCCACGUAUACAAAUAUUCUAACCUUGAAGUUCUGUUAGCAAUGUUAAAAUGUCAAGAGGUAUGGCAAAGUCUUACACCCAAGUCUACACAACUGUCAACAGCCCAAAUAUCCAAGACAGGAGAGUUAUAUUAAUGCCAGGUGGAUACCAAAUUGAGAUCUGUUGAAAAAUCACGAUAUAUCUUCCUCUUAAACUAGGGAUUAGUGUUUGGUUGGUCUAUUUUUUAAGUAAGUAUAUACUUACUGAUUUUCCAGAACACCUACUUCACUGUUCAGUUUUAAUUUCAAAGCAGUCAAGUGCAAGAGAUCCCUUCAAGAUUAUCACUUUAUGUCAUUGAUCUGCACUAGCAGAAGACUCAAUUUGCUCAGUAAUAAGUAACUUGGGUCAAAGGCCAUGACCGAGAAAAGACAAAGGGUAUCGUUUACACCCAUGUCAAUCAGAAACAGCUUCAUUGAAAUCUACUGAAUUACAUUUGUCUCCAAUCAGUGUGAAACAGAAUUCUGUGUUCGUGCAAUUUGGAUUAUGUGGCAGUGAGGAAUUCACCUUUAUUAGUCUGUAGUGGGAAGCAUUAUGGACUACAAAGUUAAAAUAGUAGAUCUGCUAGAACAGCUUUUUAAUCAAAAUGGGGUUUAUUCUCUUCUUGGCAAAUCAAAUUCGUGUCACUGUUUAAUUUCACUGGCUUCCACUGCAUUAUCUAAUCUACUUCACGGUAUGAAUUUGUAGAUUCUAUAAUUUUGCAUUAGAGAAUUCAUCUGAGGUAAGAGAACGGUAAUUAGUGUCCUACUUUUUAAAGAAAAAAAAGAACGCAAAAAAACCCACAGAACAAAAAAAACCAAGCACACCCCCCCAAAAAAAAAAA